rnacentral:rRNA from 1 species
CGCGUAGGUGGUUCGUUAAGUUGGAUGUGAAAGCCCCGGGCUCAACCUGGGAACUGCAUCCAAAACUGGCGAGCUAGAGUAUGGCAGAGGGUGGUGGAAUUUCCUGUGUAGCGGUGAAAUGCGUAGAUAUAGGAAGGAACACCAGUGGCGAAGGCGACCACCUGGGCUAAUACUGACACUGAGGUGCGAAAGCGUGGGGAGCAAACA